CUACAGGAUGUAGUAGCAGUAAAUAGGAUGUUUACUGGUCAGGAAGACAAAGGACAACUUCAGGAAGAAGUCAGGGAACACCUCUAGGAUAGGGGCAUAAAGGAACGCUUUAAGGAUAAAGCAAGGGACACCUCCAGGAUGGAGAAUGAGAGUCAUAGCAGGAAGCGGUGACGGGUUAGGAUGACCAUAGGAACAACUUCAGGACGAAGUAUAAAGGACAGUUGCUGACGGAUUACAGCAGUCAAAGGAAUGAUGCAGGGAGCUCCAUAGUAGCGGGAAUGCUGCGAGUAAGACCUAAGGGGGCAACGAAAGUUGCCCCCGUUCUUUUAUUG
rfam:Photobacterium damselae subsp. damselae CIP 102761 Contig58, whole genome shotgun sequence.